rnacentral:tRNA from 1 species
GGGGUUGUAUUUAAUUAUAAUACUUGAUUUGCAUUCAAGAGGUGCUAUUAUUACUGGCCUUCCUCA